AAACAGCUGCGACAGGCGAUGCUGUGAAUGGAACAAAAUGUUAUUUUAGAGGAUAGAAAGAAUAAAAACCAAUCUCUCCUACUUACUUCCUUCCACCAAAACUAACUCAAAAACCUUGUAAUUAUGUAUACAUUUUAGACAUUUGAAAAAGAAAAACCUAGUCAGAACCGUUUUAGUACUGCAGCACAGCAAAUGUCAUGAACAGGCAGAAAGCACCCCACGCUUUUGAGGAAAAAAUAUCUCUUCUCCAAAGGCAUGGGGUUUGCUCUGUAAGGGGCUGGGGCAACCUGCUCUUCUCCAAUUCCUCUGUGUGAUCUCGUUCUAAACUGCACUGCGGGGAAGUCAGUAAGGUUUACCCACCCGCUUUGACAUUUUUCUAGUCUUUUUUUUUACAUCUGAAGCUAUGGAGAGGUGGCUGAAGACAGGGUUUGUGCUGGAAGGAGCAAUCAGUGUCAAUGAAGACACCUCUGUAUGAGAGACUGCUACCCACAGGUACUGGGGAGUCAACAGCGCUAGCCCUGGAAAGCAACUUAUUGUUACUGGGCCUGAAUUUUGUGAUGAUGGAAUGCUCCAACUUUCAGAGAGAGGAGGAACCUCCACUGAAAAUGGUAUUUACAAAAUUUUCCAUCUGGGAAGUUUUUAAUCUAUUUAUAAGAGAGUCUUGAUUUUGUUCACUAAGAAUUUUAUGAGAGUAUUGCAUCCUAGAUCAAGUAGGUAAGGAAGGAAAUCUACCUCUAUCAGUUAAAAUCAUUAAGUAAAUUUAAUUAGAAAUGUACGUACCUUCGGCUGUUACCAUGGGCAGGUAAGAAGUAAGAGGAAGAAAAAGAGAAAUGUACAGUUUCAGUUGUAUGGUUAAACUGGAAGGAUUCUGACCCUGUUAAAACACAUUCUAAGAAAACAAAAUUAAGACUCUUUGAUAAUUCAGUCAUGUAUCCUCAGCAUUUUACAAUUCCAUUUCUUUCCAGUGACAUGGAUCAACAAACAGAAAUUCCCUGAAAGUAAGUCAAAAGCUGUUAUGUGGGCAGCAAAACUGUCAUUAAUGAAGUGUAUGACAAGAGCACUCUUAGUAACUGUUUUCUUGUUAUGCUAUUUUCACAUUGCAAGCUGUUCCAUAUGGGUUUUACUCUUUAGUGGUUUUCAAGGCAUUCUGCACUAUUCUGUUAAUACUGACUGGAUGAUCCAGUAAUGCUAUUUGUGAAUCAGACUCCAGGGUGCGUAAAAAUUAUUUUCUUUUCUUACACAGCAGCAACAUUUUGAGUAUUUGCUCCUAUUACUGCUCUACACCCUCUAUAUACAAAGAGGAUUUACUUGGAAAGAGGUUCAGAAAAGCACCUUUGUAUUAAAAGUGCCUGGAAAGGGAAAGCAAAGCACUGGAGACCACUCUGAGCGGAUGCCACUUCUGUCAGAUGUUUGGGUAGAUCUGUACCCCGAAACAUCCUACAGUGAGAACUGAAAGUGUAUUUUAGAAGAAAUAUUUAAAUAUUCAGUUAAAUCUCACAGUAGAAGACCUGAAAAUCUAGAAAUAAUGGAAAUGAGAAAGGACAUAGAAACUCUUCAGGCUCAUUAAGAGAGAGGAAAAAUAUCUGAGGACAACGCGUUGUGGAUGAUGAGUUCCACCAAUGUUAAUCAAGAGGGAUCCCAAGCUUCCCCCUGUUUGAUAGAAGCAUGUUUCUAGAUCUCUUCCCUGCAGACUGAAAUGACAACAGAACCCAAAGGAGACCAGAUUCCACUGAUCUGGAUCCCACCCUGAAGACCUCAAGCUGUUUCAUCACUACAAACUUGCCUGAUGACGCGGACUCUCGGCUGAAUUUGACCGCCAUCUCCGGCACUGCCUUGCUCAGCUCUCUACUCUGAAUGACACCUUUGGUAAGUGUUGGACACUCUAUGUCUUAGGAAUUCUAUCACCUCCAUACAUGAGAAAACUACUUGUUACUGGCUCAGUUCUUCUGUAAGAAAUAGUCCUAUCAGUACCCAGGUUUCCAACCACCACGGUGGGACAAGGCCUCCUGCUUUGGAUAGGGCACCAUGCUAAGAGCUACAUGGCUUCUGAACUGCCCGGAGAUGGCCUCCAACUUUGCUAGCUUGGAAUUCAGAGCUCAUUUGCACAGACAAGCCUUUUUCUCUGUUUUUCCCCACUCACUCCCAUCGCCAGCCACUAUAGCCCUUUGGCAACAUUAUUAUAACCGUA